rnacentral:rRNA from 1 species
CUUGACAUCCAGAGAAUUUAGCAGAGAUGCGUUUAGUGCCUUCGGGAACUCUGAGACAGGUGCUGCAUGGCUGUCGUCAGCUCGUGUUGUGAAAUGUUGGGUUAACGUCCGCAACGAGCGCAACCCUUAUCCUUUGUUGCCAGCACGUAAUGGUGGGAACUCAAAGGAGACUGCCGGUGAUAAACCGGAGGAAGGUGGGGAUGACGUCAAGUCAUCAUGGCCCUUACGAGUAGGGCUACACACGUGCUACAAUGGCGUAUACAAAGAGAAGCGACCUCGCGAGAGCAAGCGGACCUCAUAAAGUGCGUCGUAGUCCGGAUUGGAGUCUGCAACUCGACUCCAUGAAGUCGGAAUCGCUAGUAAUCGUAAAUCAGAAUGUUACGGUGAAUACGUUCCCGGGCCUUGUACACACCGCCCGUCACACCAUGGGAGUGGGUUGCAAAAGAAGUAGAUAGCUUAACCUUCGGGAGGGCGUUUACCACUUUGUGAUUCAUGACUGGGGUGAAGUCGUAACAAGGUAAGCGUAGUGCU